rnacentral:rRNA from 1 species
UACGAAGGGGGCUAGCGUUGCUCGGAAUCACUGGGCGUAAAGGGCGCGUAGGCGGGUCUUUAAGUCAGGGGUGAAAUCCUGGAGCUCAACUCCAGAACUGCCUUUGAUACUGAAGAUCUUGAGUUCGGGAGAGGUGAGUGGAACUGCGAGUGUAGAGGUGAAAUUCGUAGAUAUUCGCAAGAACACCAGUGGCGAAGGCGGCUCACUGGCCCGAUACUGACGCUGAGGCGCGAAGGCGUGGGGAGCGAACGGG